UAUUAAAAUUUUAUUCAUUUUUACUGUUAAAAAUUAACAUUGCUAAGAGAAAAAUCAUAAAGCUACAUAUGAUGUGCUACGUGCACCUUAUAUUGACGUAUAGGAAUUAGUUUUUAACGGUUAGAAUGGAUUGAAUUUUUACUU
rnacentral:pre_miRNA from 1 species